GGGGGUGUAGCUUAGUGGCACAGCGCCUGCCUGGCAAGCAUGAGAUCCUGAGUUUGAUUUCUAAUCCCCCCCU
rnacentral:tRNA from 1 species